AGCGAACGCUGGCGGCAGGCUUAACACAUGCAAGUCGAGCGGGCACUUUCGGGUGUCAGCGGCGGACGGGUGAGUAACGCGUGGGAACGUGCCCUCUGGUUCGGAAUAACUCAGGGAAACUUGAGCUAAUACCGGAUACGCCCUUUUGGGGAAAGGCUUGCUGCCGGAGGAUCGGCCCGCGUCUGAUUAGCUAGUUGGUGAGGUAACGGCUCACCAAGGCGACGAUCAGUAGCUGGUCUGAGAGGAUGAUCAGCCACACUGGGACUGAGACACGGUCCAGACUCCUACGGGAGGCAGCAGUGGGGAAUAUUGGACAAUGGGCGCAAGCCUGAUCCAGCCAUGCCGCGUGAGUGAUGAAGGCCUUAGGGUUGUAAAGCUCUUUUAUCCGGGACGAUAAUGACGGUACCGGAGGAAUAAGCCCCGGCUAACUUCGUG
rnacentral:rRNA from 1 species